GUCCAGCAUAAUAAACAAGGUUUGGCAAGGAAACUCUCUAGUGGGUAGAGAGAGAAAUUCUCUGUGUUUCUUCUUCUAGUUUUUUUGGAUCUCGGUACAGCCAAGCUUAGAGUUUCAAUCGACAUCCCUUGUCCAGAGGGCAGGGGAAGGCUUGUUAUGCUGAUAGCGUUUUGGGCUUCUCUCCCCCUCCCUAUCUGGUUUACGAAUAGUGUGGUUUUAGGUUUGGUUGUUGAUCUUGGGGCUUUAUUGUGAGGGAUAUAUUCAGAAGAUCUAUCAAGGUGUUUAAGAGAGUCUGAGUGUUUGGAUCUCUUCUUGGUUUGUUGGAAAUGGGUUUAGAGGCUACUGAUGCUCUGUGGGAGUGUCUAAGCAUGGAUUUGAUGUCAGAAACUUCUGGGUUUUCAUAGCCUUUCCUCUAUGUCUGAAGGCUGGCCCUAAAGGCUAAAAGAGAUUGGAAGGCCGAUGAGCUCUACGAUGUCACUCUCCUGACUGUUGAUGGUGUACAAACAUAGGUGAGGCACUGCUUUUUGAGUAGGUGGCUGGGUCCUCUCCUUCAUGUCGGCAGCACUGCAGUGAAAAGGGUGGUUUGUUUUCCUACGUGCUUAGGUUUUUUUGGGUAAGAGCUGGGCUAAGUUUCAUGCAGGUUUGUGUUGGGUUUGUACUGAGCUCGUUUUAGGUCUCUUUUCUUAUGUUUUGAUCGUAGGCCCAUUUUAUGUAAGUUUGCCCUAUGGGCCUUGAUAACGCAAAUGCUAUUGCAAUUCAAAAAAAAUAUAUAUUAUUAUAGAUAAAUGGAAUAUUUUAACUUGGACUUACUUUAGAAUUCACACU
rnacentral:misc_RNA from 1 species